rnacentral:lncRNA from 1 species
AUCUCACAAUUUUUAAUAUAAAUAAUCAACGUAUUUAUAUUCAGCAGUGUGCUGGAGCUGGAUUGAACUAGUUAAAGAAAGUUGAUUGUAAACAUUUUGGAGGAUCACACACUUACCAACAUAUCACAGGUUAUAUGGGAAUUGUAGUGGUGCAAUGGUGAAUGUUUCACAACUGGCUCAUUUAAAGAUAAAAUUUCUGAUUUAUAGUGAUUGCCAACUCCCAUGUAGCAUGUACUCCCACCAGGUCUAUUUCAACAUGGAGCUGGGAAAGCAGCACACAAUCCACGCUUGCAACGCUGUAUGAGUUGGCUCCCACACACUAUUAAAACAUACCAAUCCAAAACCUUUCUCUCUGACUCUGUAAUAGGUUUUAGUGCCUACAUGAUUGAUAUGGUUUGGAUCUGUGUCCCCACCAAAUAUCAUGUGAAGUUGUAGUCCGCAGUGUUGGAGGUGAGGCCUGGUGGGAAGUGGUUAAAUCGUGCGGGCAGAUUUCUCAUGUAUUGUUUAGCACCUUCCUCUUGGUGCUUCUCUUUUGAUGAUCAGUGAGUUACCAUGAGAUCUGGUGGUUUAAAAGUAUGUACCACUUCUCCCCUCAUUCUCUCUUGCUCCUGCUCCUGUCACGUGAGAUGUCUCAGUCCUGCUUUGUCUUCCAUCCUGAUUGGAAGCUUCCUGAGGCCUCCCCAGAAGCAGAAACCACUAUGCUUCCUGCAGAGCCUGCAGAACUAUUUUUAAUGCAUAUUAAAAGCAUGUGUGCUUAAGAAUGAGGCCUCACAUACAUGAAGUUAUCCAUCUCCAGACCUUUAAGAACUUCAAAGCCAGAAAGUGUAUACAUCCUGGGACGCUGAAAACUUUGCACCAUUAGUAUUUUAUUGUAAUUAUUAUUUCUUCAAAUGAUCUAGCCACAUGAUAAUUAUCCUGCCCUUAUCCAACUGUGAAUUAAAAUUCGCAGUUGAAUUCAAAUAAUCAUAUUCUAUAUAAUUCUUUCCUGCUACUCCAUAAGAGCAGUACAUGGAAAAUUUCAUUCAUUCAUCUACUGUUGUUUUUCCUAUGUAUGUGCCAUAUAUUUAUGUUAUAUACUUUAAGGAAGAAAGUAAUGAUUCUUUGCUCUGAGCUGGGUAAUCAGUAAAAAUAAUAUGAUGACAAGGCAUUACUUAUAUAAUAAAAUUGUAAUUCAGAUAUUACCACAUAUUUCUACUUAGUUUUCUCUGUGGAGGGUAUUAAC